rnacentral:rRNA from 1 species
GAUGAACGCUGGCGGCGUGCCUAAUACAUGCAAGUCGAGCGAACAGACGAGGAGCUUGCUCCUCUGACGUUAGCGGCGGACGGGUGAGUAACACGUGGAUAACCUACCUAUAAGACUGGGAUAACUUCGGGAAACCGGAGCUAAUACCGGAUAAUAUAUUGAACCGCAUGGUUCAAUAGUGAAAGACGGUUUUGCUGUCACUUAUAGAUGGAUCCGCGCCGCAUUAGCUAGUUGGUAAGGUAACGGCUUACCAAGGCAACGAUGCGUAGCCGACCUGAGAGGGUGAUCGGCCACACUGGAACUGAGACACGGUCCAGACUCCUACGGGAGGCAGCAGUAGGGAAUAUUCCGCAAUGGGCGAAAGCCUGACGGAGCAACGCCGCGUGAGUGAUGAAGGUCUUCGGAUCGUAAAACUCUGUUAUUAGGGAAGAACAAAUGUGUAAGUAACUAUGCACGUAUUGACGGUACCUAAUCAGAAAGCAACGGCUAACUACGUG